rnacentral:rRNA from 1 species
UACGUAGGGGGCAAGCGUUGUCCGGAAUCAUUGGGCGUAAAGAGCGUGUAGGCGGCUCGGUAAGUCCGCUGUAAAAGUCCAGGGCUCAACCCUGGAAAGCCGGUGGAAACUGUCGAGCUAGAGUCCGGAAGAGGCGAGUGGAAUUCCUGGUGUAGCGGUGAAAUGCGCAGAUAUCUGGAAGAACACCAAAGGCGAAGGCAGUGUCCUGGGUGGUCGCUGACGCUGAGAGGCGAAAGCCAGGGGAGCGAACGGG